CCUGGUAUAAAUAACGCAAUGGUACCACCUGAAUCCAUUCCGAACUCAGAAGUGAAACGUUGUUGUGCCGAUGGUAGUGUGAGGUUUAACCUCAUGUAAGAGUAGGUAAAUACCAGGA
rnacentral:rRNA from 1 species